GAUGAACGCUGGCGGCGUGCCUAAUACAUGCCAGUCGAGCGAACAGACGAGGAGCUUGCUCCUCUGACGUUAGCGGCGGACGGGUGAGUAACACGUGGAUAACCUACCUAUAAGACUGGGAUAACUUCGGGAAACCGGAGCUAAUACCGGAUAAUAUAUUGAACCGCAUGGUUAAUAGUGAAAGACGGUUUUGCUGUCACUUAUAGAUGGAUCCGCGCCGCAUUAGCUAGUUGGUAAGGUAACGGCUUACCAAGGCAACGAUGCGUAGCCGACCUGAGAGGGUGAUCGGCCACACUGGAACUGAGACACGGUCCAGACUCCUACGGGAGGCAGCAGUAGGGAAUCUUCCGCAAUGGGCGAAAGCCUGACGGAGCAACGCCGCGUGAGUGAUGAAGGUCUUCGGAUCGUAAAACUCUGUUAUUAGGGAAGAACAAAUGUGUAAGUAACUAUGCACGUCUUGACGGUACCUAAUCAGAAAGCCACGGCUAACUACGUG
rnacentral:rRNA from 1 species